GCCGGGGUGGUGAAACUGGCAGACGCACGGGACUCAAAAUCCCGCGGACUUCGGUCCAUGAGGGUUCGACCCCCUCCCCCGGCACCA
rnacentral:tRNA from 3 species